GAUGAACGCUGGCGGCGUGCCUAAUACAUGCGAGUCGAGCGAACAGAUAAGGAGCUUGCUCCUUUGACGUUAGCGGCGGACGGGUGAGUAACACGUGGAUAACCUACCUAUAAGACUGGGAUAACUUCGGGAAACCGGAGCUAAUACCGGAUAACAUAUUGAACCGCAUGGUUCAAUAGUGAAAGGCGGCUUUGCUGUCACUUAUAGAUGGAUCCGCGCCGUAUUAGCUAGUUGGUAAGGUAACGGCUUACCAAGGCAACGAUACGUAGCCGACCUGAGAGGGUGAUCGGCCACACUGGAACUGAGACACGGUCCAGACUCCUACGGGAGGCAGCAGUAGGGAAUCUUCCGCAAUGGGCGAAAGCCUGACGGAGCAACGCCGCGUGAGUGAUGAAGGUCUUCGGAUCGUAAAACUCUGUUAUCAGGGAAGAACAAAUGUGUAAGUAACUGUGCACAUCUUGACGGUACCCGAUCAGAAAGCCACGGCUAACUACGUG
rnacentral:rRNA from 1 species